rnacentral:rRNA from 1 species
AGCGAACGCUGGCGGCAGGCUUAACACAUGCAAGUCGAGCGGGCAUCCUUGUGGUGUCAGCGGCAGACGGGUGAGUAACGCGUGGGACCGUGCCCUUCGGUUCGGAAUAACUCAGGGAAACUUGAGCUAAUACCGGAUACGUGCGAGAGCAGAAAGGUUUAUCUGCCGAAGGAUCGGCCCGCGUCUGAUUAGCUAGUUGGUGAGGUUAUGGCUCACCAAGGCGACGAUCAGUAGCUGGUCUGAGAGGAUGAUCAGCCACACUGGGACUGAGACACGGCCCAGACUCCUACGGGAGGCAGCAGUGGGGAAUAUUGGACAAUGGGGGCAACCCUGAUCCAGCCAUGCCGCGUGAGUGAUGACGGCCUUAGGGUUGUAAAGCUCUUUUCUUCGGGACGAUAAUGACGGUACCGGAGGAAUAAGCCCCGGCUAACUUCGUG